UACGGAGGGUGCAAGCGUUGUCCGGAAUUAUUGGGCGUAAAGAGCGCGUAGGCGGUCCGAUAAGUCGGCUGUGAAAGUCAGGGGCUCAACCCUUGGAAGCCGGCCGAUACUGUCGGACUAGAGUCCGGAAGAGGCGAGUGGAAUUCCCGGUGUAGCGGUGAAAUGCGCAGAUAUCGGGAGGAACACCAAUGGCGAAGGCAGCUCGCUGGGACGGUACUGACGCUGAGGCGCGAAAGCGUGGGGAGCAAACAGG
rnacentral:rRNA from 1 species